rnacentral:snoRNA from 1 species
UGAUGAUGGUGAGGGGAAUUUUUUAGCAUACCCUUAAAUCUCUCCCAAGCUUGGUAGAGAUUCUCUCCGUCUUUCUCUCUAAAACUAAAGAUUUUACUCCUCAAGUG